ACUAGCAGUAAGAGUUUGAUCAUGGCUCAGGACGAACGCUGGCGGCACGCCUAACACAUGCAAGUCGAGCGCCGUAGCAAUACGGAGCGGCAGACGGGUGAGUAACGCGUGGGAACGUGCCCUUUGCUUCGGAAUAGCCCUGGGAAACUGGGGGUAAUACCGGAUGUGCCCUGAGGGGGAAAGGUUUACCGGCAAGGGAUCGGCCCGCGUUGGAUUAGGUAGUUGGUGGGGUAAUGGCCUACCAAGCCGACGAUCCAUAGCUGGUUUGAGAGGAUGAUCAGCAACACUGGGACUGAGACACGGCCCAGACUCCUACGGGAGGCAGCAGUGGGGAAUCUUGGACAAUGGGGGAAACCCUGAUCCAGCCAUGCCGCGUGGGUGAUGAAGGCCUUAGGGUCGUAAAGCCCUUUCGCCGGGGAAGAUAAUGACGGUACCCGGUAAAGAAGCCCCGGCUAACUCCGUGCCAGCCGCCGCGGUAAUAC
rnacentral:rRNA from 1 species